GUCUCAGUAGAGGAAUUCUUACCUGCAGCCCUUUGGGCUACAGUGAGUGUGAUGAAGUUGGGUUUCUGAUCAGAUGAUUUAAAACCCACUGGAGAAAGGGCCUGCAACUCCCUAUUCUUCACUUCUGAC